UACGUAGGGUGCAAGCGUUAUCCGGAAUUAUUGGGCGUAAAGAGCUCGUAGGCGGUUUGUCGCGUCUGCCGUGAAAGUCCGGGGCUCAACUCCGGAUCUGCGGUGGGUACGGGCAGACUAGAGUGAUGUAGGGGGAGACUGGAAUUCCUGGUGUAGCGGUGAAAUGCGCAGAUAUCAGGAGGAACACCGAUGGCGAAGGCAGGUCUCUGGGCAUUAACUGACGCUGAGGAGCGAAAGCAUGGGGAGCGAACAGGG
rnacentral:rRNA from 1 species